rnacentral:lncRNA from 1 species
AAAAAGAAAGAAAGAAAGAAAGAAAGAAAGAAAGAAAGAAAGAAAGAAAGAAGAAAGAAAGAAAGAGAAAAGAAAACAUGCAUUAAUCAACUCCUCAAAUGUCGUGGUGUCAUCCUUGGUCUGUACCCAGUGGAAGACAAAAAAUGGUUGAAAUGCACUGGGCCUCACUCAGGGAUCAGCAAUGGCUUUUGUCUCUGGCCUGGACUGCAGGGAUCUGGCUGUGCCUAGAUGUGAAGAGGCAAUGCACAGUAAGGAAGAAGGCACAUGUGCGGGCGUGCAAGCUUGGGCAGGUGCACAUGGAGCCAGCAAGGAUUCUCCAGGGAGCCACCAUCACCCUGAUAUCCAGCGGGAGCUGGUCUGAGCUACGUUACUCCCAAGCCCUGCUAGCUGGCUCCCCAGGAAAGCAAGAACUCACACAAAUGACUCUUGGGCGUUUGUGGAAGAGCUGAGUCCUCAUCACUUCCUGUGGGCCUUUCUGAGCAUAAUAAGAUCCUCUCUCUUGCAUCAGCCAACCCAGGAGCUGCUGAUAAACCAUGGCACAAGCUUGAGCCAGAGUUGACCUUAACCAUUGACAGCCCACUGAGCACUCAUCAUGUGCUAAGCAUUAUCUCAUUAAACCUUCACCACAAUCCUGCAAGGUAGGUGCUGUGUUACCCCAUUUUACAGAUGAGGGGAACCAAGGCCUACAGUUCCACAGCAG